UGGGCAGUGUCAUUAAGAAUGCAGAUCUUA
rnacentral:piRNA from 1 species